rnacentral:rRNA from 1 species
UACGUAGGGUGCAAGCGUUGUCCGGAAUUAUUGGGCGUAAAGAGCUCGUAGGCGGUCUGUCGCGUCUGCUGUGAAAACUCGGGGCUUAACCCCGGGCCUGCAGUGGGUACGGGCAGACUAGAGUGCGGUAGGGGAGACUGGAAUUCCUGGUGUAGCGGUGAAAUGCGCAGAUAUCAGGAGGAACACCGGUGGCGAAGGCGGGUCUCUGGGCCGUAACUGACGCUGAGGAGCGAAAGCGUGGGGAGCAAACAGG